UGGAUUAGGCAUGCAAGUCGAGCGACGUGGCCGCAAGGCCUCGUAGCGGCAAACGGGUUAGUAACACGUGAGUAAUCUUCCUUAAAGUCAGACAUAGCUUCGUGAAAACGGAGGUAAUAUCCGAUGUGGCCUUAGAUCAGCAUUGAUUUAGGGUUAAAGACAGGGACCGUAAGGCCUGUCGCUUUUAAGAUGAGCUCGCGUCCUAUCAGCUAGUUGGUGAGGUAACGGCUCACCAAGGCUAAGACGGGUAGCUGGUCUGAGAGGAUGGUCAGCCACACUGGGACUGAGACACUGCCCAGACUCCUACGGGAGGCUGCAGUCGAGAAUCUUUCGCAAUGGGGGAAACCCUGACGAAGCGACGCCGCGUGCAGGAUGAAGGCCUUCGGGUUGUAAACUGC
rnacentral:rRNA from 1 species